CCCUCUACAACCGCGCAGAAAAGGUUAAAAAAUACAUUUGUAUUACCUUUAUGGCGAGUCUUAGAUUAUA
rnacentral:sRNA from 1 species